CCUCGAACUCACAGAGAUCCGCCUGCCUCUGCCUCCCGAGUGCUGGGAUAGUUUUCUUAAUAUGACAAUCAUGUAAGACAAAUAUGUCACAAAGGCUGAGAAUUAUAUUUUGGCAUAGGAAGAUAUAAUGGAGAAGCUCACCCUGAAACUUUAUUUCUCAAUUAAGAGCCAAUAAGGUUUUUAAAAUAAUUUUAGUAGAUAAAAUUAUUUUAAAUGUAUCAGUUUCUAUAUUAUUUUAAAUGAAUGUGCUAUGGUUUAUUAUGCUAGUGCACUAACCUGAUGGUGUUUUUAGAAUUUAAUAUAUUUUGAGUGGACAUUGAGAAUGCUUACUGGAAUAUUUAUUGAGGUAUCUGAGCAGAGUGAAACCUGUGGCCUAACAAGUGUGAUUUUAAUAGAUGAAUGCCUUGGAACAGUAAUAGAUGUUUUUCUAUCACAUGGAUGUCAACAAUAGGUUUCCCAGAAGCCAGAAGAUCACCUAGUUUUGCUUCUUUCAUAUGAACAUUCUUCACCCACAUGCAGCAAGACUUCUGACAGCUCACUAAACUGAUUCCCUUUUCUUCUUAGACACCUUUCUAGUCUGUAUCUCUAAGCGUCCUUCAUCUUAAAUGUGGCAAAUGGAAAGAAAGUUCCUCGGGUCAGUCUUGAGCAGUGAGGCUGACUGUGGUGCCGGAAGCUAUUUGUACAAUGGUAAAGCUUCUCUAUGCCAGGACACACGAGUGCCAGGAUACACGAGUGCCAGCAGAGAACUCUCCAACAGAUACUGACCCUGGUCUACUCUCUAUGAUGAACUGGCAUGAUAGAGCCAUUUCACAUUUUGUGUCUGUCACAAGAAUCCAGCAGCACACUAAUAUAUCACCACACUGCCAUGAGAGAAUUAUGACUGACAUAAAAAGCACCAGCAAAAUCAUGCAAUAGUGUUACACAGUGCUUACAAAAUACCUAAGCAGUUCAUGAACAUUAUGUCAUUUUAUGCUCACAAAUUCUUUGAAGAGUUACCAUAUCCCAUUAAAUAAGGGUUGAUGAGUAAUUGUGCCCAGUUCCUGACAGAAAUGAUAGCAAUUCUGGUCCCUUACUUAAUUUAUGCAAUAGCAAGCCAGCAAAUCUUUUUUUUCCAUCACAUUUGUAAGAUCAUACAACAGAGCUCUUGUAUAAUAGAGCAUAGCAUUCAGUAGCAGUGAUGCACUAUUUUUCCUUUGUUGCUGUUUGGUUUUCUGUUUUUAUCUCCUGACACAGAUGAUAACAAGGUGUGUCCUACAUGAAAUCCAGAUUCAAGAACUGAUGUAUAGUCUCCCAGAGAAGACAUAAAACUUGACCUAGACUGUCACAUUGUUACAGCCAACAAGAGGACUGGAAUACCAAGACAGUGGCAUUAACAGAAACAGGGCAUUCAACCUCUCAAACGCCGGCCACACUCUCAGCCUGGUAUCCUUCCAGUGAUGGACUCUUCUAGUGUAUGGUCUUGCCAUAACCAACAAUUCACCAGGAAAUGAAGCUCUUCUGAUGCAGGGGAUACAGAAAGACUGAGGACACGUCAUUUCCAAGGAAAGAAAGGCACUGACCCUUAGCCUACCCAGGCCUGAGGAGCUAACAAGUUCAUCCUGCUCUAUGUGGAUCCUAAGGCUAGAGCAGCCAAGGCUGAUCCUGCGACUGCACCCAUCCUUAAAGAGACCCAACUCUGGCAGGCCCAGCUAAAGCACACCUGGAUCCUAGCCCACAAAUGUGCAAUACUCGUGUGCGCUGUCUGGGCCAUGAAGUGCAGUGGGAAUUUAUUACAUAGCCACAGGUCCGAAAUCUUUAAAUGGAAAUGUUGCGCGAACCAUCUCCAAUUUUAACAUAAGGUCCAGCACUUAGCAGAAAUUAGUGAGUUAUGCAUUCAGGAAACCUACAGUGUAUGACCGUGUGAGGAUUGUAUCGAAAGCCCUAUGCAUGCCUUUUGUGCGUCGCACCGAGCCCCUCGAGGACAAUCUAAGUGGCAUCUAGCCACUGUACACCAUGCACUAAAGAGAAGUGCCAACACUGAAGUGUGAGCAAGGGAAGGAGUUCGGGGGGAAAAGGAGGCCUUGGUAGGAUUCCUGUUCUCACAGCCUUCAGUUUGGGAGUAAGGCCUGCUUGAGCUGCAUGAGGUAUUCAAAAGCUUACAGAAAGCUUAAAAACAAGGGCAAAGUUUGGGACAAUCCCAACCAUGAGAGGCUCAAUGGAAGCAACAUGAAGGAGAAAACCGAAGACAAGGGCCCAAUAAUUUUGUAUAAAAUAUGUCCAAGCCUCUCUCUGACCUCUGAACCACACACAUUCAAAACAACCUGGAAAAAAAACACCAAAGAACAAAAUAAGUGGCUGGAGUGGUAUAUAAUUUCCGCACUCACCCAAUCAUGCUCAUUAUAUAACAGAAAAAAAAACCACUAGUCAUCAAAAGGACACAGAGGAUCCCAGAGUUUCAA